GUCCUCCUCAACUAAGCUCCGGUUGCCAUGGCGACGGAGAGGCCUGCAGGGGCCUGGUCGGGGCUACACAGGCACUGCUUCUGCUCUUCCCCUUGGCCGUCCUGAGGGGACACAGUAGGAGCCAAGGAGGAGUAAAUUGUCACAUCAGAGUGAGGAACGUAAUGGAACAGGGAUGGUGUUGGCUGAUCCUGAAGAGAUCCUGAUCCAGCCUUGUAUGGAUAUGUCAGCUGAAGUAGUAGGGAUCAGAAAGGUCUAUGUGCUACACACAUAAGAGAACAGAGCAGUACCCUCCAAGGACCCUCAGUGGCAAGGACCAGAGAAGAAGAAAGGGAUAUGUGCACAGAGGAGGAAGAACAAGGUUGAUGCUGCAUGGAUAUUUUGUUGAUAGACUUCCUUGUGAGCUCAGGUACCAUUGGGGACACACUGAAAUACUUGGGAGGCUAGAUGUCCUGUGAGUAGCUAGAAAAAGGCAAAAAAUGUGAAUCAUUGGUGAACAAUGUAUAUACAUACAUAUAUGAGUAUUAUCUGUUACUGGGUGUGAUUAGUUAUGUAUGUCUUUGUUUCUUUGGGAUAUCCUCUAGUCAUUUUGCUUUUGUUCUGUCUUUCUCCUUAGAGAGCAAACUCCUGAAGACAAGAUCAAUUUCUCCACCCUUUUCCUGUCUAUUUCAUAAGAUGGUCAGAACUAUGUUUCUAAAACUCCUAUCCGAU
rnacentral:lncRNA from 1 species